UCUGACUCAUCAGAAGAUGAUUUCAUCCAGUCUUUUCAGGAGGAUAGGGAUGAAUGUAUUCAGUACCCCUCAGGAUGAUUUGGGAUGCUGUGGGAACACUCAGAGCGCCAGAGAUGAAGGGGAGCCCGUUUUUCUGGGCAGCAAAGGACAGCAGAGCUCCUUUGGAAGGAGGAUGUGAGAAUCUGAAUUUGAUGGCAGUUUCUACCCAGAACCAAGGAGCAGAGCAUUGCCAGCUCCCUGCAGGGGGAAGCUGGAAGGGCAGAAAUUCCCAAUCCCACAGCUGGGCUGAGCUUGGCACACUUCACCUCUCCUGGGCUACACUGGGUGUCACUGCAAUGCCAAGCUUUGGCAAGCAAAUCCUGCUUCCCCGGGUCUUGCUGCAGCCUUUUGCUCCAGUGCUGAGGAAGUUAUCAUGACAUGUCAUAUUUCAGCUGGAAAAAAUCUAUUUUGCAUGGUUCCUCCUGCAAUUUGCAUGUGCUUUGCUUGCUCCUCACAGCGUUGCACGUGUAACAGGCACAUGUAGUAAAGGAAGAAUAUACAUAGUAUGGUUUUCUGUUCAAAUUUGGUUUUGUUCCUGCUGAGCCAAGACUUUGAUGCUAGACAGCAGUGGAAGGAAUGCCUGAACUCACAGCAUUUUAAUUUUUUUUUUUUGAAAGAUUUACAAAAUGCAUUAAAGUGGUGUAUAAACACAGAGUAUUAACAAUUCUGUGGCAAAUAAAUUAUUAGCUCUUUAUGUUGUAGGAUAA